UACGUAGGCAGCGAGCGUUGUUCGGAAUUACUGGGCGUAAAGAGUGUGUAGGCGGUGCUCUAAGUUCGGUGUGAAAUCUCCUGGCUCAACUGGGAGGGUGCGCCGGAAACUGGAGUGCUUGAGCGUGGGAGAGGAAAGCGGAAUUCCUGGUGUAGCGGUGAAAUGCGUAGAUAUCGGGAGGAACACCAGUGGCGAAGGCGGCGACCUGGGCCAAUAUUGACGCUGAGGUGCGAAAGCGUGGGGAGCAAACAGG
rnacentral:rRNA from 1 species